rnacentral:rRNA from 1 species
AUGAACGCUGGCGGCGUGCCUAAUACAUGCAAGUCGAGCGAACGGACGAGAAGCUUGCUUCUCUGAUGUUAGCGGCGGACGGGUGAGUAACACGUGGAUAACCUACCUAUAAAACUGGGAUAACUUCGGGAAACCGGGGCUAAUACCGGAUAAUAUUUUGAACCGCAUGGUUCAAAAGUGAAAGACGGUCUUGCUGUCACUUAUAGAUGGAUCCGCGCUGCAUUAGCUAGUUGGUAAGGUAACGGCUUACCAAGGCAACGAUGCAUAGCCGACCUGAGAGGGUGAUCGGCCACACUGGAACUGAGACACGGUCCAGACUCCUACGGGAGGCAGCAGUAGGGAAUCUUCCGCAAUGGGCGAAAGCCUGACGGAGCAACGCCGCGUGAGUGAUGAAGGUCUUCGGAUCGUAAAACUCUGUUAUUAGGGAAGAACAUAUGUGUAAGUAACUGUGCACAUCUUGACGGUACCUAAUCAGAAAGCCACGGCUAACUACGUG